AGUUUACAGAGAACUCCCGCCCCCACACACCACAGAAGGUAUGAGGCUUCAGGAUAAAGUGACUCCUCCAAGAUCGCAGCUAAUCAGACCACCCUGCCAGACCAGUGUUCCAUUCCUUUGAUGACAAACCUGGGUUUCACCCUCAACCCUGCAGGGACCUCCCUUCCCUGUCAGUCCUGAGUUAAUGUGUCUGCCUCAGAAUUCAAAAACAAGUUGAAAGGGGAAGAGAGGGAGCGGUUCACUUUUCUGAUGACUGGUGGGCCCAGAGCGUGCUCAGCUCUCCUUGUUAUUCUUAGCGGGGAUGCUCUUGCCUGGCAGCGGGGAAAGCAGGAGAGUGGAAGCUGGUGGGGAGGGGCAGGGAAGCCGGGCUCCAGGGGUCGGCUUCCAGAAAAUGAGAUGUCAGCUGGCAGGAAAGAAUUAAUAAAAGGAAGUAGCCCCUGCUGACCCAGGCUCAUUCAUAGUAAAUUUUGGAUUCUGGAAGUUUCUCCAUGGCCUCUGCUGCUUCUUAGGGGAGCACUGGGAGCCAGAUACCCUUUUUCUGGAGAAGACCAAAGGCAAGCUGAGGAGUAGCCACGCCUUUUGGGAACCUUGGGCAACAGGAGCUGGAUGAACCUCGAUGAUUGCAAGGCUUCCCAACCCUGUCCAAUGCUACCAACCACCUGCUGUUGUCAUUAAGCAAUUCAAAUCCUGGGCCACGGCUGUCAUGUUAGCAGGCAUCAGACUCACCUGGAGAGCUUGUUCAAGCAAAUGAGGGCCCUGGCCCUGCAAAUUGAGCCUCAGGAGCCAAGUGUGGGACCUGGCAUUGGGCAAGUGUAACAAAUCCCCAGGUACGCCGGCUCCUAUUGCAGCCGGACUCCACUUUGAGAGUCCCAAGGCCAACUCCCCAGACCCGAGCCUCCAGGGAAGAGAUCUGUGCUUUUCACAACUCCCCAGGUGGUUCUGCACAUCAAGACAGCUCAGGAAGCUGCUCACAUGAGGGCCACCUGUGGCUGAAGCCCCCCGGACCCUUGUUACAUGGCAGGUUCCCAGGCUUUGCCUUGAUUCUGAGGACUUAGAACCUCUGGGGCUGGGGCCCAGGAAUCAGCAUUUAACCAUAUCUCUGUGUGAUUCUGAGCUAAUUACAGCUUCAGAGUCCUGACCCUGUAUGCAGAGGAGAAAACUGAGGCCCAGAGGGGUGAACUGGCUGGAAAAAGCCCUUGCUACCACUUAGAAAUCAAAGUGAACCCCAAACCAGGUUGUUUUCCAAUAGAAGAACAAUAAUUCAAGGUUCAGGCGAGCUCAAGUUUGCCCUGGAAAUCUCAACAUCUGCCCCUGAAGCCUGGACAGGUUGGCCAGAGCCCUCUGGAUCCUGGAGUUCUCUCUUCUUAGGAGCAAGAGUCACGGGGCACCAGCCCCCAACCACCACCAGCCCUCACGUUGCCAAGCACUGUGGUCAUGCCCUUAUAACUUUGCACAACCUGAGGUCUUAGCCUUAGGUUCCCUCUCUGCCUGGGAUCUCUCACAUCUCAGCCCUCACUCACCCUCCAUUGAAGCUCCGUCACCUCCAGCCAGCAGUAACGCCCUCCCCUGGACUCACACUGAUUUUGCACAAUUGUCCACUGCUGCUCUCGCUGCGAUGGCAGGGCCAGCCUACUGAAGGAUCACAGCUGUCCCCACCUUCCAGAGGUGUAUUCUUUACCAUCUGAGCCACCAGGAAAGCCCAAGAAUAUUGGAGUGGAUUGCCAUGGCCUCCUCUAGGGGAUCUUCCCAACCCAGGGAUUGGACCUGCAUCUCCACCGUUGGCAGGAGACAUUCUUCACAUUUAUGAACCUUUCCAGUCAUCACAGUAAAGAAUCUGCCUGCAAUGUGGGAGACACAGGUUCGAUCCCUGGGUCUGGAAGAUCCCUUGGAGAAGGGAAUGGCUACCCAUUCCAGUAUUCUUGCUUGGAGAAUCCCAAGGACGGAGGAGCCUUGUGGGCUAGAGUGCAUGGGGUCACAAAGAGUCAGACACAACUGAAUGACUUUCACUUUCACUUCUCCCAGUCAUCACAUUUCAACCACUCAAUUCUGCAUUUAAUCUGGGCACCCUCCCGUUUUUCUUUUCACUGGCGUUAGGCAAGUUUCUGACAUGGAGUGUUGAUUCCUGUGUCUCUACCACAGCACGGGAUACAGUGCUGAGUCUACACGGGUGCUUGGAGAAUCCUCACCCACAGACCACACAUGGGC
ensembl:lncRNA